rnacentral:tRNA from 1 species
GCAUUGGUUGUUCAGUAGUAGAAUUCUCACCUUCCAUGCAGGAGACCCGGGUUCGACUCCUGGCCAAUGCA